AUAGGAAUAACUUUUUAAUUUGGAAUUAUCUCUUCAAUUGAAAUUGAGAGUAUUAGAAAAGGGUCGAAAUUAAGGUGAAAAUUGACAGAAACAUCAAGAUAGGGUGAAGUUGAAUAGUCCAUAAAAGUUUGGGGCACUUUGAUACAUUUGGAUAAAGUUAGGGCAUUUGGUUAUUCAUUAAACAAAGAAUAAUAAUACAGUAGUACACAGUCAUUUCCCCGAAAUAACCGUCGGAGUACUCCGACCAGCCGGACUCUGGUACAUGUACUGCGGUCGAUGUGGGGUCUACUACAAAAUUCUGGUUCUAGCUGUAUAUGUUUGCUUAACUUAUCAGUAUAUUUUUAAACGCCUCUCUCACCUUUAUCUUCGUGCUUACAGUUUAUACAGAUAAAAGACGUAUUGUAAUUUCUAGUAUCUGUCUAUAGCUUCUUCUUCUUCCUUGAGACGGUGCUUUGUUCUCAAUCUCUAAGUUCCUUUUGAAAGAUCCUACUCAUGUGAGAAUGUGAAGUUCUCGUGCCAUCCCCUUCCCUUGUUUGCCUUCAACUUUUGACAUGAUUGCUUGACGACGAGAGAGAGCACACUGGUUAGCAUUCAUGCUGUGGGCUUGGCUGUCUACUAGCGUGCUCUCUAUCGUCGUCAUACAAUAUGCUUGAGGAAGGUUCCUUUUCAUCCAUUUUUGAUUACUGGCAUGUGAAUAAACAGGUGUUUCUAACAUCUUGCUGUAGCUGGAGCCCAGCUUGCUAUGGAGAUGGUUAGAAGUUGAUAAGUUUGGAAAGUGAUGUUUUAACAGUGGCCUUCCAUUGAAAGCCUCCAAAAACUGAUUUUUCUUCACUACAUCUGAUCAUUUAGGAAGUGAAGGAGCCACAAUAGCCAAGUACUUUUGCAGACAAUAUGGUUGUCUGGGUUGAAGAGGUUCCCCUUCAUAUUUGGUCCAUAUGGAGGCUGAUAUAAUGGCUUCCCCCUAAUGAACUAUGCUUGUCGCUCAAUAAUAUAUGAAAUGUUUGGCUCUACUAUUGCAGCGAAAAUGCUAGAAUUUCGGUCAAAUUGAGUUAUGUUUAAGCAUUUCCCUGAGGAGAUGGUGAGUGCUUCAAUGCUGCUGUUAAAUUAAUGGAACACUUACAUCAAUGUUUGGUAGGUAUAUUGCUUGAAGAUUUUAUGUUUUUGAAGACUGGAUAAAUGCAUUUUUGCAUGACAAUUUCAUGUUUCUAAUAGGGUUUCUCAAUGUUUCUCAACAGCAAGUAUUUGUUAUCAAUAUCUAUAGCAUGAACUCGGAGUUGUAUAUAUUUUUGGCAACCGUUUCUCUAUAAUAAGUAUGCAGUACUUCUUGACCUUUUUAGUUUUCUGAUCUAGUGUUGCGCAUUAUUUUAAGCAUAUAGAGAGCUUGAUGGUAAUAUAUUUCUGACCUCUCUUGUUGCAUUGGUUUCAAGUACUUUCAUCUUCGAGACCCAGGGAAAUGUUCAUCAGGGUCCUGUAUAAAUUUUGGAGGAAGGAAGUUAUGGAGAAGCUUAGCAAAUGAGUAUCCGGGCAAGCCUUUGCCUUGGGGUCAUGCUUCUCCAAUGCGAAUAACCUCAGAUUUUCUGGUUCCUGUUGGUUUUUGCCAUGUUUGUAGGUUGAUGUAAGCAUUGGCAACCGCUACUAUGAUGUUUGAGUAAUGCUUUUUGACAGCUAGUUUACGUUAAUGAACAACUUUUUAUAGUGUUUUCUUUCGUAUUUAUCAUUUCUUGCUUCUGCGAUUCA